rnacentral:rRNA from 1 species
AUUGAACGCUGGCGGCAGGCCUAACACAUGCAAGUCGAACGAGUGGCGGACUGGUGAGUAAUGUCUGGGAAACUGCCUGAUGGAGGGGGAUAACUACUGGAAACGGUAGCUAAUACCGCAUACCAUCGGAUGUGCCCAGAUGGGAUUAGCUAGUAGGUGGGGUAAAGGCUCACCUAGGCGACGAUCCCUAGCUGGCCUGAGAGGCUGACCAGCCACACUGGAACUGAGAAACGGUCCAGACUCCGACGGGAGGCAGCAGUGGGGAAUAUUGAACAAUGGGCGCAAGCCUGAUGCAGCCACGCCGCGUGUAUGAAGAAGGCCUUCGGGUCGUAAAGUACUGUCAGCGGGGAGGCGUUACCCGCAGAAGAAGCACCGGCUAACUCCGUGCCAGCAGCCGCGGUAAUUC